GCGAAGGUGGCGGAAUUGGUAGACGCGCUAGCUUCAGGUGUUAGUGUCCUUACGGACGUGGGGGUUCAGUCCCCCCCCUCGCACCA
rnacentral:tRNA from 1 species